rnacentral:rRNA from 1 species
CAAGUCGAGCGAGAAAGGGUAGCAAUACCUGAGUAAAGCGGCGUACGGGUGAGUAACACGUGGGUCAUGUACCCUUUGGUGGGGAAUAACGUUGGGAAACCGACGCUAAUACCGCAUAAUCCCNANAGGGAAAAGCCGCAAGGCGCCGAAGGAACAGCCCGCGGCCGAUUAGCUAGUUGGUGGGGUAAUGGCUCACCAAGGCUUCGAUCGGUAGCCGGCCUGAGAGGGCACACGGCCACACUGGCACUGAAACACGGGCCAGACUCCUACGGGAGGCAGCAGUGGGGAAUCUUGCACAAUGGACGAAAGUCUGAUGCAGCGACGCCUCGUGAGUGAUGAAGGUCUUCGGAUCGUAAAGCUCUUUCGACUGGGAAGAUAAUGACGGUACCAGGAGAAGAAGCUGCGGCUAACUACGUGCCAGCAGCCGCGGUAAUACGUAGGCAGCAAGCGUUGUUCGGAAUUACUGGGCGUAAAGAGUGUGUAGGCGGUGCCGUAAGUUUGGCGUGAAAUCUCCCGGCUUAACUGGGAGGGUGCGCCGAAGACUGCGGUGCUUGAGGGUUGGAGAGGAAAGUGGAAUUUCUGGUGUAGCGGUGAAAUGCGUAGAUAUCAGAAGGAACACCUGUGGUGUAGACGGCUUUCUGGACAACUCCUGACGCUGAGACACGAAAGCGUGGGUAGCAAACAGGAUUAGAUACCCUGGUAGUCCACGCCCUAAACGAUGCAUACUUGGUGUGAGCCAUUCACUUGGUUCGUGCCGGAGCUAACGCGUUAAGUAUGCCGCCUGGGGAGUACGGUCGCAAGGCUGAAAACUCAAAGGAAUUGAC